UCAGGACGAACGCUGGCGGCGUGCUUAACACAUGCAAGUCGAACGAGAACCUGUGGAAGGAGUUUCGGACAACGGAAACGGGGGAAAGUGGCGGACGGGUGAGUAACGCGUGAGGAACCUGCCUUGGAGAGGGGGACAACAGCUGGAAACGGCUGCUAAUACCGCAUGAUGCACGAUGGGGACAUCCCCGACGUGCCAAAGAUUUAUCGCUCUGAGAUGGCCUCGCGUCUGAUUAGAUAGUUGGCGGGGUAACGGCCCACCAAGUCGACGAUCAGUAGCCGGACUGAGAGGUUGAACGGCCACAUUGGGACUGAGAUACGGCCCAGACUCCUACGGGAGGCAGCAGUGGGGAAUAUUGGGCAAUGGGGCCGCAAGCCUGACCCAGCAACGCCGCGUGAAGGAAGAAGGCUUUCGGGUUGUAAACUUCUUUUAAGGGGGAAGAGCAGAAGACGGUACCCCUAGAAUAAGCCACGGCUAACUACGUGCCAGCAGCGGC
rnacentral:rRNA from 1 species